rnacentral:tRNA from 2 species
GGGGGUAUAGCUCAGUGGCUAGAGCGGUGGCUUUGCAAGCCAUAGGUCUGGGGUUCAAGUCCCCAUACCUCCA